rnacentral:rRNA from 1 species
CGACGUAGGGAACCUGCCCAUGCGGCCGGGACAACUUCCGGAAACGGAUGCUGAUACCGGAUAAGGAAAGCGAAGGCAUCUUUGCUUUGUUAAAGGAGCUGCAAGGCUCCGCGCAUGGAUGGACCUGCGGUGCAUUAGCUGGUUGGUGAGGUAAAGGCUCACCAAGGCGACGAUGCAUAGCCGGCCUGAGAGGGCGAACGGCCACACUGGGACUGAGACACGGCCCAGACUCCUACGGGAGGCAGCAG